AUGCGUGAACCGAGGAGAAGUGGCGGGCUUGCAGUGAGUAGAGAUCCCACCACUGCAUUCCAGCCUGGGCGACAGAGCGAGACUCCGUCUCAAAAAAAAAAAAAAAAAAAAAUUGUAAAAACUAGAAACUUUUUUUUCUUGGGAUUGGAGAAGUUUUUUCUAAGGAUACAAGCAAUGAAACAGAAAACCCUAUGUAAACUCACUCACCUGCCUUUAAUGCCAUAGUGUGCACACCCCAGCGUGUGUGUUUAUGUGUAUACAUAGACAUACAUAUUUUAAAAUGUUUAAAUUUGAACGUUACUAAUACAUAUAAAACAAAAGUAGAAAAUCAAAAAGAUGAGGUAAAAAUGUUUUGAAAUAUUGUUUGUGGUAUUUGUGGUUAAUAAACCUUUACUCUUUCUAAAAAAAAAAAAAUUUCUUUUAGAGAGAGUCAUGAUUAAAAAUGCUUGUCAUUUUUGAAACUCCUAGUUUUAACACUUCAUAAAAAUGACUUAAUGUUCUUAAGGUAAGUUUAUUUUGAUGCUUGGUUUUAAUGACUAUUGUAGCUGAAUAAGUCACUUCAUUAAUUUAGAUCUGUGGAUCCAAAUAUGGCUGUGCUUACUGAAAAUAUUUUUGAGUUCCAUCCACCAAUUUUGCAAAAGUGUUUGUUGAAAUUUUUAUAAUAAAUUUUCAUGUUUUCCAAUGUCAGUAACUUGUUUAUGCUGAAUAAUUAGGAGCACUGCAUUUUUAUUUUUGCUAAAAAUGGGUUCAAAACCUGCUGCAACUUAUUUUUGAAUUUCAUUUCCCAAGUUUAAGUGUACACUUUGAAGAGUUUUUAUAGGUGACAAUUUUUGGCAACACAUUUUCAUGAAUUCUUGCUUGGUCAUCAUUAGUAUUACGUUAUCUUUACCUAGAAGGGUCAGGUUAAAUCUGUCCAUUUAAAAAAAUACCUUCUAGAUUGCAUAUUGCUUACAGACACUUGUCACCACAGGAAAGAUUGGCACAUUCAAGCCUUUUUAUCAAUUAAAAAAUAUAUACCAUAUUUAAGAAUUUUGCUAUGAGAUAACCAGCAAAUUUAGGGGUUUAAUUUCCUCAUCUCAUUAUAAACUGUUGUCAAGAUGCUCUCGUGUAAGAUAAUAAAAAUCUACGUCCCGUUGCCUGAUGGUGCACACAGACAAUAUUCUGGAAGAGAGUGGUGUCCCUGUUGCUCCCUCUGCGAUAAGGAGCUCUCAGCACUUCUUUGAGGAUUCCUCACUGACUGGCAUGUGCUGCCUGGCCACUACCAUGCAGCCUGUGUGUCUGUUACGUAUUG
rnacentral:lncRNA from 1 species